rnacentral:rRNA from 1 species
UACCAGCACCCCGAGUGGUCGGGACGUUUAUUGGGCCUAAAGCAUCCGUAGCCGGUUCUACAAGUCUUCCGUUAAAUCCAACUGCUUAACAGGUGGGCUGCGGAAGAUACUAUAGAGCUAGGAGGCGGGAGAGGGCAAGCGGUACUCGAUGGGUAGGGGUAAAAUCCGUUGAUCCAUUGAAGACCACCAGUGGCGAAGGCGGCUUGCCAGAACGCGCUCGACGGUGAGGGAUGAAAGCUGGGGGAGCAAACCGG